GACGAACGCUGGCGGCGUGCUUAACACAUGCAAGUCGAACGGAAAGGCCCUGCUUUUGUGGGGUGCUCGAGUGGCGAACGGGUGAGUAACACGUGAGUAACCUGCCCUUGACUUUGGGAUAACUUCAGGAAACUGGGGCUAAUACCGGAUAGGAGCUCCUGCUGCAUGGUGGGGGUUGGAAAGUUCCGGCGGUGGGGGAUGGACUCGCGUCUUAUCAGCUUGUUGGUGGGGUAGGGGCUUACCAAGGCUUUGACGGGUAGCCGGCCUGAGAGGGUGACCGGCAACAUUGGGACGGAGAUACGGCCCAGACUCCUACGGGAGGCAGCAGUGGGGAAUAUUGCACAAUGGGCGGAAGCCUGAUCCAGCAACGCCGCGUGCGGGAUGACGGCCUUCGGGUUGUAAACCGCUUUCGCCUGUGACGAAGCGUGAGUGACGGUAAUGGGUAAAGAAGCACCGGCUAACUACGUG
rnacentral:rRNA from 1 species